rnacentral:rRNA from 1 species
CUAGCCGUAAACGAUGGGUACUAGGUGUGGGAGGUAUCGACCCCUUCCGUGCCGGAGUUAACGCAAUAAGUACCCCGCCUGGGGAGUACGGCCGCAAGGCUGAAACUCAAAGGAAUUGACGGGGGCCCGCACAAGCAGUGGAGCAUGUGGUUUAAUUCGACGCUACGCGAAGAACCUUACCAGGGCUUGACAUCCUCUGCCGGUCGUAGAAAUACGAUUUUCUGGUUUUACCAGACAGGGAGACAGGUGC